AUAGGGCCAUUUCUCACCACACGUAAGCAUUCCAGAGGCGGCUGGGGCCGGGCGCAGUACAUCAGGGCUGCCGUUCUGUUUCUCUGUGGUUCUUUAUUCGGCUGUGCUCAGUGAGUUCGCUUUGUGUUCAGCCUGGCUUCCCUCAUGGUCGCCAGAUGGAAGCUCCAGGCAACUAGGGGUGACACGCUUCUUUGCUCAAGUCCAGCAGAAGAGAGAAAACCUCUCGCUUAGCCGUGGAGUAUAAGUCCUCCUCUGCGGUUAGAUUGAACCAGCCCAGCUCACGCGCCCACCGCAGGAUGGAGGGCAGUCUUCAGGAGAAGGCCAUGCACAGCUCUAGGCCUGAGUUCUCGACCAGUCAUAGGCCUGGGGUCGGACCUCCAGACCCCAGAUUAGAGUAAGCCGGAUCUACCCAAGAGCCCCGGGGCUGGGGUCAGCCUCAUUGAGUCACAUGGCGGAGGGGUAGAUGUCUUUAGGAUUCUGUUAGGAAGUUCAAAGGGCAAGUGCAUGUUGGGCAAAUCAACAUCACUGUAGUCAUCUACAACUCUGAUAAUCAUAAGAGAACAAUAAACAACAUUCAAAACACAAGAGAAAGGACACUAAACUUGAAGUAAUACAAACAGGGUGGACAGGGGCCCAUAUUUUGGAGGCUACCCCUCUAACCUCAUCUGCCACCUCUCCUCCCUCACCUGUGCUCUCCUCUCCAAUUCCCAAAUCAGGGAGGCUCUCUCAUGUCCCUUGACCUUUGCCAUGCUCUCUUCCUGGAAGACACUUUACUUCUUCCACUUGGCAAAUGUUCACUCAUCCUUCGGACCUCGACUCAACAGUCGCUUCCCCUGGGGAGCCCUCCGGACUCCCUGGUGGAAAGCGGGCUCCUCCUCUAUGCUGUGCUCCUGUAGAGCACUGCCUAUGGCAUCUGGAUCUCCCAGGAGACCCUAGAGCCUUAAGGAUGUGUGAGCCGUGUGUCUGGGGUCUCACACAGUGCUUGGUCGUCUUAGUUGACUGCGUGACUUAGUCUAUCAUCUUACUAGACAGAGAAAGGACAGAACAAUUUUUAAAAGCCUUGACACUCCUUACCCUUGCCUGUCCCCACCCCACGGUGGUGGAGAGACCCCUGCAAUGUUGUUUGCUCGAGGUCACCCCCUGCGUCCUCUUGGACACUCUCUGGAACGUCUUCUCCUGCAGCUGCCUGCGCCCAUCUCAGCUGGCAGGUGAUGGUCCAGCAGGCAGUGCCAGGGCCUCCCCCUUCUACCCGACAAAGGCCAGCAGAGCCACGCCGAGAAUCCUGGGAGGCUGAGUUUUCUCCAAGGGCCCAUGUCAUUGAGUCUUUUUUUGCAUUACAGGAAAUGAGGACGACUCUAAGGGGAGCUGGAGGACGGAUCACAGUCAGGGCUGAGCUCUCAGCAGUCUUCACCUGAACUGACCCAGGAUGUCAGAGAAUGGGGGAAGACUCCCGAGGAGGGAAGCUGUGGCUGGUUGGUGGUGUCACUCAUAACCCUGAUUCCCAGGGUCACCAAGGCCAACAAGUUGUCAAUGAAGCAGCAGUCUUUCCCAGGCUGUGCAGAGCCCCCGGCCACGUCUCCUCCUGUCCCCACAGGUGUUGGCCUCUCUGCUGGGCCCCAGAGGGGCCGAUGGGAAAGAAAGUGGAGAGAGCACAUGGACUCCAGCAGAACCAGGGUGAGGUGCAGGGGACUGGAGUGGGCAGCAAGGGGCGUGAAGCUUAUUUUUCUGUUUUGAAAUAAAAAUAGUAUACUUAUGAAAAAUAAUAAACUACAGAAAAGCAUUAAGAUGGAAAAAAUAACUCAAUUGUUUAUUUGUUGGCAUAAAGACCAGUUUCUAAUGAGAUUUUUUCCUUAUUAUUUGUCUUUUCUUCCAAAGUUUCUGGCUGUUUAGCCACAAAGUUAUUACUUUAAAAUUUCUUUAUUAUAAAUCAGACUUUUUUUGAUGAAUUAAUAAAUGUUUAUCGCCUGCUGCCUGCAAGGUACAGAGAUAUCUGCAGUAGACACGUCAUGAAAAGAACAUUAUUCUACCAUGAUUAUGAUUUUCCAUUGUGUUUUUGCUUUAUAUAAUUUUAAAACUAAAUAUUAUCAGAUGCCUAAUUUCUAUCUUAUUUGUAUUUUGUCACUAUAAAUAUCCAAUUUUACUUGAAUUUUAUUUUAUUUACUAUUAAUUUUGCUUCAUCUGUGUUCUUUUUGUUAGCAUUUGCCAACUGUAUCUUUCAAUAUUCCAUUUUUAAAGAGUGUGUCUUUUGUAAAUACCACACAGCCGAAUCUUUUCUUAAACCCAAAUCAGAAAAUCUCUGUCUUUAAUCAGGAAAUUUAACCCCAUCUCAUUUAUUAUGAUGUUGAUAUGUUUAGACUAAUUAUUGCUUUUUUGUUGUCUUCCUGCAUUUUUUAU
rnacentral:lncRNA from 1 species